rnacentral:rRNA from 1 species
AAACUAACGGAUUUACUUCGGUAAUGACGUUAGGAAAGCGAGCGGCGGAUGGGUGAGUAACACGUGGGGAACCUGCCCCAUAGUCUGGGAUACCACUUGGAAACAGGUGCUAAUACCGGAUAAGAAAGCAGAUCGCAUGAUCAGCUUUUAAAAGGCGGCGUAAGCUGUCGCUAUGGGAUGGCCCCGCGGUGCAUUAGCUAGUUGGUAAGGUAAAGGCUUACCAAGGCGAUGAUGCAUAGCCGAGUUGAGAGACUGAUCGGCCACAUUGGGACUGAGACACGGCCCAAACUCCUACGGGAGGCAGCAGUAGGGAAUCUUCCACAAUGGACGCAAGUCUGAUGGAGCAACGCCGCGUGAGUGAAGAAGGUUUUCGGAUCGUAAAGCUCUGUUGUUGGUGAA